rnacentral:miRNA from 1 species
CGGUCGUGGUGGUGUGGG